rnacentral:antisense_RNA from 22 species
CUUGACCGAGCCCAGCCACAGCGGCUGCUCGGCGCUCCGCUCCCGGCCGUAGGUGGCCAGCAGCGCCUGUGCCUC